rnacentral:misc_RNA from 1 species
GAAGAUUGUAGUGCGGCUUAUUUGCUCUAUAUUGGACCAGUUCCAUUUUUCACAAAAUUGUUUCAGUCUAGAAAACAAAGACUCUGCAGAUAGCAUUGUAGGCUCUGAUAGCACUGAAACAGGUUCUUUCGCUACAUUUCACAAAUGUGGUGGUAAUUAUUCAGCUAUGCUGCCUAAAGGUAGUUGUUCCGUAAUAGCCACUGAAGUACAGGCAUGUCUUCAGAAAACUGUGCUCCCUAAGAUGCGAAAAUUACUGGAUUGUGAUUCUGAUAAGGUCAAUGUUAACAUCA